rnacentral:lncRNA from 1 species
GCACCUGUCAACCCUCACAAAGGAGAAAACUUCUAACCUGGUACUCCUGGGAGAAGAUGCUCAGCAGAGUGGCCUGCGAUUGACUGGAACAAAUAAAAGAAGGACAAAGUUAAUUACUGGAGUGCACGGCAAAGAAACAAAAGAGAAAGGAGCUUCAAAGGUUCACAAGAAAUGUGGUUGCCAGCUAAAGAGGAGAGGAGAAAGAUUCUGUGCAACUGAAAGGUCUACCUUAAACAUCACAGUCCAACAUUCAACAGUACCACAGUGCAUCUACAAUGUCCCAAGCUUUAGCUCCGCACCCUACAGCUGUCUGGGUAAAGGAGAGCAUGUGAGUGGACCCAAAGAAUGGCUAGGUAAAGCCCUGUCCAAGUCUAGAACAGCAACAGCCAUGCUGCAGCAAUGUGGAAACAGACCUGAAGAAAAAACUAGCACUGUGAGGAUGGCAGACGGAAGAUGGAAAGAGCUUGGGUCCUUGAGGACACUGUGGAACUGCUGAAGAGACCAUGGAAUUGAGCUGACCAGCCUCCAUUCUUAUUCUGUGUAAUUAUACAUGUCUAUUUUUUUAAAUCUCCAAACCAAAGAAAUAAAACUCUUCCCAGGCUUCUGUGUUCUCUAGUAAGGUGGAGGCAUGAUGAAGGGCUUUGAGACAAGGUGCUCCAUAAUGGUGGCACAUGUACAAGAUGGAACACUUGAGAGGGAUUGUCCAUUUCCAUAAUUUCUAGUUCUCCCCUUAGCUGAUGGCUAUAAUUGGCUUCCCUAAAAUUUUUCCUCUGUCUGUGCCUGACUCACUAAAUUGAC